rnacentral:tRNA from 1 species
UCACUGGUGGUCCAGUGGCUAGGACUCUGCACUUCCAAUGCAAGGAGCCUGGGUUUGAUCCCUGGUCAAGGAA